GUUUAGCUUGCGUUAAGGAUUGCAGCGGCAUCCUUUUUUGCCAUCAAAAGCAAAAAAGAUAUAGCGGAAAGCCUGGUUUUCU
rnacentral:sRNA from 1 species